rnacentral:rRNA from 1 species
UACGUAGGGGGCAAGCGUUGUCCGGAUUUACUGGGCGUAAAGAGCGUGUAGGCGGCCAAGCAGGUCCGUUGUGAAAACUGGAGGCUUAACCUCCAGACGUCGACGGAAACCGCGUGGCUAGAGUCCGGAAGAGGGGAGUGGAAUUCCUGGUGUAGCGGUGAAAUGCGCAGAUAUCAGGAAGAACACCAAUGGCGAAGGCAGCUCUCUGGGACGGUACUGACGCUGAGACGCGAAAGCGUGGGGAGCGAACAGG